GUUUUCUUCUUCUCUUCAUGUUUCUGCUCUUACCUCCUUCUCAGGUUCUGCUAGCCCUUUGGGAUAUCAGGCCUUCAGAAGUAGCUCAGAAGAAAGGCUAUGUGAGGACACAGCAAGAAGGUGGCUGCCCACCAGCCAGGAAGAGAGCCCUCACCAGGAACUGAAUCUACUGGCCUCCAUCUGGGACUUCCAUCCUCCAGACCUGAAAAUGCAAGAGGAGAGAGAUAAAUUGAAAGAAUUGUUAAGCAAAAAGGAAGUAGAAGUUGAAGACUUGGAAAAUUCUCAGCCUACCCAUGUUACAAAAAGUGAGAAAGUAUGCUCUGAACACCAAGGAUGUGGGUGGAAAAUCAUUUGAUAAAGGAAUUAUGGAUAUGAACCCUGGAUUUAAUCAGCCAUCUCAGCAGAAUCGAGCAAUAGAGAUGGGGUUAUACGAGCAGACACUGCCAGUUUGGACCAAGGAGACAG
rnacentral:lncRNA from 1 species